UGACGCAGCGACGCCGCGUGAGGGAUGAAGGCCUUCGGGUUGUACACCUCUGUCGGGAGGGACGAAGCUCUGACGGUACCUCCAAAGGAAGCACCGGCUAACUCUGUGCCAGCAGCCGCGGUAAUACAGAGGGUGCGAGCGUUGUCCGGAAUCACUGGGCGUAAAGGGCGCGUAGGCGGCCUGAUAAGUCGGGGGUGAAACGCUGCGGCUCAACCGCAGCACUGCCUUCGAGACUGUCUGGCUUGAGCACGGUAGAGGCUGGUGGAAUUCCCGGUGUAGCGGUGGAAUGCGUAGAGAUCGGGAAGAACAUCGGUGGCGAAGGCGGCCAGCUGGGCCGUUGCUGACGCUGAGGCGCGACAGCGUGGGGAGCAAACAGGAUUAGAUACCCUGGUAGUCCACGCCGUAAACGAUGGGUACUAGGCGUCGGGGGGAGCGACCCUCCCGGUGCCGUCGCUAACGCAGUAAGUACCCCGCCUGGGGAGUACGGUCGCAAGACUG
rnacentral:rRNA from 1 species